GACGACACUUAAAAUGGAGAGAAUGAUCAUGAGCCAAAAAAAAAAAAAGUGUUACGCUUAAGAAACAAGAACUACACCAACAGGUUUGCCAGGGAGCUUGUCAGUGUUUGCCAAGGUCACAAAGCCUGGUAUUUUUGACGAGGAGGCCUCCAGGAAGACAAGCAGGGUGACCACCACUUUUAAAAGGUUCCCCAUCCACAGACGGGAGGUUUCUCUUUGCUAUGAAAGGCACACGAGGCCCCUGUGUUCAUGUCCUGUGACGCAUGCAGGCCACCUGGGUAAACAGUCUUCCCGUCCACUUCUUAAUAAGAAAGGCAAAGCACAUCAGCUCCACAGGUGACUUGUGUAUGGGUUCUUUAUUUGGUUUUAGAUGGCAGACACUCAUAGCUCGAUC